UUUGUAAGAGCAAAAGCUCGAGUUUUAAUGGGCUCAAGCAGACAAUUCUUCACUUAGAAUGUCCAAAGGUUACAACCUAAUUGAUAAGCCCCACAUCCUAACUAAGCCUUAGCCUUCUUGUUUGACCAAAAACGAGCCUCCAUUCUUAUUUUCUCCGCAUCGCCUAUUUAAUCGAGGAAGUCUAUAAAAAGAGUCACUGAUUUUGUGGUGCCUGUUCAACAGAUUCACAAAUUUCUAACUUUUUUUUUUGGAUCAAAGACAACACUUCAUUAAUAAAAAUCAGAAUUCAAAGCAUGAACAAUGAGGGGAGGGGGAUAAUCCAGCCACUCCACAAGACCUGUCAAAGAACCUGUCCCUGUAGCUAACAAAUGGGCAACAGAAUUCGCAGAUCUGAACACAAAACGCCAUUGCAAAUUGCUAAAACACUUACUCAAAUGCAAACAGUCUUCUAAGAUUAAAUGAAAGGCCGAGUCACCAGCUGGUUGCCUAAUGCUCUCCACUACUUCUUUAGCAUCGACUUCUAUAAUCACAUUAUCCAAGCCUUUGUUGGUUCUUUAGCCAGCUUAAUGCCUCUGUAACACCAAUAUCUUCAGCCUCGCUAGGCGUCAUUAGACCAACAACUCUCUUCUGAAACGCAGCCUUGAAAAGACCAACGUGAUCUCUAACAGCACAACCAACACCAAUACAACCCAUGUUAGAGAAUACAGCAGCAAUCGGUAUUAGCUUUCAACCAACCUUCUCUCGGUUUUGUCCAUGUAAGAUCACCAUCCUCCACAAAUUUUUAACUUAACAAGCCACAAAAACAAACAAUUCCAUUACAAUAGGGUGGAACUCGUUUGGUACAGCUUUUUAGAGCACACUUUAUUUUAAAAUUUUUUAUUUUUUAUCUCUUGCAAUUUCAAAAAUAACAAAGUUGAAUUUUCUAACAAUUUCCAUAAGAUAAUUUUGAGAAAAC
rnacentral:lncRNA from 1 species